ACGGGAGGCAGCAGUGGGGAAUAUUGGGCAAUGGGCGAAAGCCUGACCCAGCAACGCCGCGUGAAGGAAGAAGGCCUUCGGGUUGUAAACUUCUUUUAUCAGGGACGAAGGACGUGACGGUACCUGAUGAAUAAGCCACGGCUAACUACGUGCCAGCAGCCGCGGUAAUACGUAGGUGGCAAGCGUUAUCCGGAAUUACUGGGUGUAAAGGGAGCGCAGGCGGGAUAGCAAGUCAGCGGUGAAAUGUAUGGGCUUAACCCAUGAACUGCCGUUGAAACUGUUAUUCUUGAGUGGAGUAGAGGCAGGCGGAAUUCCGAGUGUAGCGGUGAAAUGCGUAGAUAUUCGGAGGAACACCAGUGGCGAAGGCGGCCUGCUGGGCUCUAACUGACGCUGAGGCUCGAAAGUGUGGGGAGCAAACAGGAUUAGAUACCCUGGUA
rnacentral:rRNA from 1 species